UACGUAUGGGGCAAGCGUUAUCCGGAUUUACUGGGUGUAAAGGGAGCGUAGGCGGCCUGGCAAGCCUGAUGUGAAAUACCGGGGCCCAACCCCGGGGCUGCAUUGGGAACUGCCAGGCUGGAGUGCCGGAGAGGCAGGCGGAAUUCCUAGUGUAGCGGUGAAAUGCGUAGAUAUUAGGAGGAACACCGGUGGCGAAAGCGGCUCUCUGGCCUGUAGCUGACACUGAGGCUCGAAAGCGUGGGGAGCAAACAGG
rnacentral:rRNA from 1 species